CAGUGGUGAUGAAAUUCCAAUUCAUUGGUCCGUGUUUCUGAACCCAGUGAUUGUCUUGGAUGCUCUGAUGCU
ensembl:snoRNA SNORD18 Small nucleolar RNA SNORD18